CCAACUAGGGGGCAAAACCCAUAACUCAGGCACGUGUCCUGAAUGGGAAUGGAACUGGUGACCUUUCACUUCGAGACAUAAUGCCCAACCAACUGAGCCACACCAGCCGGGGUGCAAGAGGGAUGCUUUUAAAACAGGGCCAACAGCUGCCAAACAUCUCAGAGGUGGGAAAGUGAAAGAAGAGUGAAGUGAAUUGGCUGAAGUUCCUUCGAAGGGUACAACCGUGGAAUCAGAACUCCAGAGCUUCCUGCGUAGGGCUGCUGUGUAGGCUGAAUCUCUGUGACAUCCCUUCCUGCCUUCCUCCUUUGUGAACUGUCUGAGGAUUCUGUCCUUGAAGCAACAUAUUCUCUCAGAGCAUUCAGGAGAUGGAAGAAGCAAUAAAGUUUGCCAUCAUUCCUUGUUCCCAUUCUUCCAUAUACUGUAUAUAAAUUGGAACGUCUCAACAAGUGCCAUAUUACCCUGUUUCCAAUUCGAGGCUUCAAAAUUGACAGAAAUAUGUGUAAGAUAGGGAAAGACAUGAAGUCUGCUAUAGGUGUUUUGUUGAAAGAGAUGAAUUUUUUAUAUCCUGGGUCAAUUUACUAUGUAAGAUUCAGAAUGUGUGAGAGACC